CCUACGUGAGGCAGCAGUGAGGAAUAUUGGUCAAUGGGCGCAAGCCUGAACCAGCCAAGUAGCGUGAAGGAUGACUGCCCUACGGGUUGUAAACUUCUUUUAUAAAGGAAUAAAGUGAGGCACGUGUGCCUUUUUGUAUGUACUUUAUGAAUAAGGAUCGGCUAACUCCGUGCCAGCAGCCGCGGUAAUACGGAGGAUCCGAGCGUUAUCCGGAUUUAUUGGGUGUAAAGGGAGCGUAGAUGGGUUGUUAAGUCAGUUGUGAAAGUUUGCGGCUCAACCGUAAAAUUGCAAUUGAUACUGGCAGUCUUGAGUACAGUUGAGGUAGGCGGAAUUCGUGGUGUAGCGGUGAAAUGCUUAGAUAUCACGAAGAACUCCGAUUGCGAAGGCAGCUUACUAAACUGCCACUGACAUUGAUGCUCGAAAGUGUGGGUAUCAAACAGGAUUAGAUACCCGAGUAGUC
rnacentral:rRNA from 1 species